GAUGAACGCUAGCUACAGGCUUAACACAUGCAAGUCGAGGGGAAACGAUGAGAGAGCUUGCUCUCUUAGGCGUCGACCGGCGCACGGGUGAGUAACGCGUAUCCAACCUACCCAUUACAGGGGGAUAACCUUGCGAAAGUAAGACUAAUACCCCAUGGCAUUUUAUGGUGGCAUCAUUAUAGGAUUAAAGAUUUAUUGGUAAUGGAUGGGGAUGCGUCUGAUUAGCUUGUUGGCGGGGUAACGGCCCACCAAGGCAACGAUCAGUAGGGGUUCUGAGAGGAAGGCCCCCCACAUUGGAACUGAGACACGGUCCAAACUCCUACGGGAGGCAGCAGGGGGGAAUAUUGGUCAAGGGGCGAGGGCUUGAACCAGCCAAGUAGCGUGCAGGAUGACGGACCUAUGGGUUUUAAACUGUUUUUAUAGGGGAAUAAAGUGGGCUACGUGUAGUUUAUGGCAUGGACCCUAGGAAAAAGGACCGGCUAAUUCCGU
rnacentral:rRNA from 1 species